GCUGAGGUCCGGAGCUGAUGACCAAGAAAGAAUUCUUGAGACAUCUUUGGUGCAAAAUGGUGGUUUAAUAAAGCACGGGAACAGGACCCGUGGGCAGGAAGAGCUGCUGCCCUGGGUUGUGAGGUAUCAGUAUCAUGGCCAUGAGUGUCUUGUGGAUAUCUUACAAGAGCAAAGGCUGAAUGAUAGGACCCUCCAAGAUUUUCUGGUUUAUUUCCAUAGAGGACGCUUCUGAUGUCACUACUCUUCUCAUUGAAAGUAUCACUAGGAAACCCAACUGUUUUCCUUAUGCAUCCUCCAUUUUCACUUCCUCAAGGUAUGAGAGACAUACAACUUAA
rnacentral:lncRNA from 1 species